ACAGGUGCUGCAUGGCUGUCGUCAGCUCGUGUUGUGAAAUGUUGGGUUAAGUCCCGCAACGAGCGCAACCCUUAUCCUUUGUUGCCAGCGAUUCGGUCGGGAACUCAAAGGAGACUGCCGGUGAUAAACCGGAGGAAGGUGGGGAUGACGUCAAGUCAUCAUGGCCCUUACGAGUAGGGCUACACACGUGCUACAAUGGCGCAUACAAAGAGAAGCGACCUCGCGAGAGCAAGCGGACCUCACAAAGUGCGUCGUAGUCCGGAUCGGAGUCUGCAACUCGACUCCGUGAAGUCGGAAUCGCUAGUAAUCGUGGAUCAAAAUGCCACGGUGAAUACGUUCCCGGGCUGGUA
rnacentral:rRNA from 1 species